rnacentral:rRNA from 1 species
GAUGAACGCUGGCGGCGUGCCUAAUACAUGCAAGUCGAGCGAACAGAUAAGGAGCUUGCUCCUUUGACGUUAGCGGCGGACGGGUGAGUAACACGUGGGUAACCUACCUAUAAGACUGGGAUAACUUCGGGAAACCGGAGCUAAUACCGGAUAACAUUUGGAACCGCAUGGUUCUAAAGUGAAAGAUGGUUUUGCUAUCACUUAUAGAUGGACCCGCGCCGUAUUAGCUAGUUGGUAAGGUAACGGCUUACCAAGGCAACGAUACGUAGCCGACCUGAGAGGGUAAUCGGCCCCACGGGAACUGAGACGCGGUCCAAACUCCUACGGGAGGCAGCAGUGGGGAUUCUUCCGCAAUGGGCGAAAGCCUGACGGAGCAACGCCGGGGGAGGGAUGAGGGGUUUCGGCUCGUAAACCUCUGUUAUUAGGGAAGAAAAAAUGUGUAAGUAACGGUGCACGUUUUGACGGUACCAAAACAGAAAGCCACGGCUAACUCCGU